UAAGACGAACCGUGCGAACGUUGUUCGGAUUCACUGGGCUUAAAGGGCGCGUAGGCGGCGGCUCAAGUCGGGGGUGAAAUCCUUCCGCUUAACGGGAGAAUUGCUUUCGAUACUGGGUCGCUGGAGGGGGAUAGGGGUGCGCGGAACUUCCGGUGGAGCGGUGAAAUGCGUAGAUAUCGGAAGGAACGCCGGUGGCGAAAGCGGCGCACUGGAUCCCUACUGACGCUGAGGCGCGAAAGCCAGGGGAGCAAACGGGAUUAGAUACCCCGGUAGUCCUGGCCCUAAACGAUGGGUACUAGGUAGUGGGCUUGCAUGGGCUCACUGCCGGAGCGAAAGUCUUAAGUACCCCGCCUGGGGAGUAUGGUCGCAAGGCUG
rnacentral:rRNA from 1 species